rnacentral:rRNA from 1 species
GCACGGGUGCGUAACGCGUAUGCAACCUACCUUUAACAGGGGGAUAACACUGAGAAAUUGGUACUAAUACCCCAUAAUAUCAUAGAAGGCAUCUUUUAUGGUUGAAAAUUCCGAUGGUUAGAGAUGGGCAUGCGUUGUAUUAGCUAGUUGGUGGGGUAACGGCUCACCAAGGCGACGAUACAUAGGGGGACUGAGAGGUUAACCCCCCACACUGGUACUGAGACACGGACCAGACUCCUACGGGAGGCAGCAGUGAGGAAUAUUGGUCAAUGGACGCAAGUCUGAACCAGCCAUGCCGCGUGCAGGAUGACGGCUCUAUGAGUUGUAAACUGCUUUUGUACGAGGGUAAACGCAGAUACGUGUAUCUGUCUGAAAGUAUCGUACGAAUAAGGAUCGGCUAACUCCGUGCCAGCAGCCGCGGUAAUACGGAGGAUUCAAGCGUUAUCCGGAUUUAUUGGGUUUAAAGGGUGCGUAGGCGGUUUGAUAAGUUAGAGGUGAAAUUUCGGGGCUCAACCCUGAACGUGCCUCUAAUACUGUUGAGCUAGAGAGUAGUUGCGGUAGGCGGAAUGUAUGGUGUAGCGGUGAAAUGCUUAGAGAUCAUACAGAACACCGAUUGCGAAGGCAGCUUACCAAACUAUAUCUGACGUUGAGGCACGAAAGCGUGGGGAGCAAACAGGAUUAGAUACCCUGGUAGUCCACGCAGUAAACGAUGAUAACUCGUUGUCGGCGAUACACAGUCGGUGACUAAGCGAAAGCGAUAAGUUAUCCACCUGGGGAG